rnacentral:rRNA from 1 species
GGGUAGUUUGACUGGGGCGGUCUCCUCCCAAAGAGUAACGGAGGAGCACGAAGGUUGGCUAAGCAUGGUCGGACAUCAUGCGGUUAGUGCAAAGGCAUAAGCCAGCUUGACUGCGAGAGUGACGGCUCGAGCAGGUACGAAAGUAGGUCUUAGUGAUCCGGUGGUUCUGAAUGGAAGGGCCAUCGCUCAACGGAUAAAAGGUACUCCGGGGAUAACAGGCUGAUACCGCCCAAGAGUUCAUAUCGACGGCGGUGUUUGGCACCUCGAUGUCGGCUCAUCACAUCCUGGGGCUGAAGUAGGUCCCAAGGGUACGGCUGUUCGCCGUUUAAAGUGGUACGCGAGCUGGGUUUAGAACGUCGUGAGACAGUUCGGUCCCUAUCUGCCGUGGGCGUUGGAAGAUUGAAAGGGGCUGCUCCUAGUACGAGAGGACCGGAGUGGACGCACCACUGGUGUUCGGGU